CCUACGGGCGGCUGCAGUGGGGAAUAUUGCACAAUGGGCGCAAGCCUGAUGCAGCCAUGCCGCGUGUGUGAAGAAGGCCUUCGGGUUGUAAAGCACUUUCAGCGGGGAGGAAGGCGGUGAGGUUAAUAACCUCAUCGAUUGACGUUACCCGCAGAAGAAGCACCGGCUAACUCCGUGCCAGCAGCCGCGGUAAUACGGAGGGUGCAAGCGUUAAUCGGAAUUACUGGGCGUAAAGCGCACGCAGGCGGUCUGUCAAGUCGGAUGUGAAAUCCCCGGGCUCAACCUGGGAACUGCAUUCGAAACUGGCAGGCUAGAGUCUUGUAGAGGGGGGUAGAAUUCCAGGUGUAGCGGUGAAAUGCGUAGAGAUCUGGAGGAAUACCGGUGGCGAAGGCGGCCCCCUGGACAAAGACUGACGCUCAGGUGCGAAAGCGUGGGGAGCAAACAGGAUUAGGUACCCGAGUAGUC
rnacentral:rRNA from 1 species